GUGUCAGCCGCCGCGGUAAUACGGAGGGUGCAAGCGUUAAUCGGAAUUACUGGGCGUAAAGCGUACGUAGGUGGUUCGUUAAGUUGGAUGUGAAAGCCCCGGGCUCAACCUGGGAACUGCAUCCAAAACUGGCGAGCUAGAGUACGGUAGAGGGUGGUGGAAUUUCCUGUGUAGCGGUGAAAUGCGUAGAUAUAGGAAGGAACACCAGUGGCGAAGGCGACCACCUGGACUGAUACUGACACUGAGGUGCGAAUGCGUGGGGAGCAAACAGGAUUAGAUACCCGUGUAGUCC
rnacentral:rRNA from 1 species